rnacentral:rRNA from 1 species
AUUGAACGCUGGCGGCAUGCUUUACACAUGCAAGUCGAACGGCAGCGCGGGCUUCGGCCUGGCGGCGAGUGGCGAACGGGUGAGUAAUACAUCGGAACGUGCCCAGUAGUGGGGGAUAGCUCGGCGAAAGCCGGAUUAAUACCGCAUACGACCUGAGGGUGAAAGCGGGGGAUCUUCGGACCUCGCGCUAUUGGAGCGGCCGAUGGCCGAUUAGCUAGUUGGUGGGGUAAAGGCCUACCAAGGCGACGAUCUGUAGCUGGUCUGAGAGGACGACCAGCCACACGAGGACUGAGACACGGCCCAUACUCCUACGGGAGGCAGCAGUGGGGAAUUUUGGACAAUGGGCGAAAGCCUGAUCCAGCAAUGCCGCGUGUGUGAUGAAGGCCUUCGGGUUGUAAAGCACUUUUGGCGGGAACGAAAAGGACUGUGCCAAUACCACGGUUCGAUGACGGUACCCGCAGAAUAAGCACCGGCUAACUACGUG